CCCGCUCCAAUAGCGUAUAUUAAAGUUGUUGCAGUUAAAACGCUCGUAGUCUGAAGGGAUGGUGCUGUUCYUGGGGGUCUGAGAAGGCUUUUGGGGAUGGGAUUGUUUUUGGGAUGCUUUUUGGGUGUCCCGGAUUACUUUGAGGAAAUUAGAGUGUUCAAAGCAGGCGUAACUCGCCUCCGAAUACGUUAGCAUGGGAUARUGGAAUACGACUUCGGUCUUGUUUCGUUGGUUUCGCUUGGCUGAAGUAAUGAUUGAUAGGGACAGUUGGGGGCAUUAGUAUUUAGUUGUCAGAGGUGAAAUUCUAGGAUUUACUAAAGACUGACCAAUGCGAAAGCAUUUGCCAAGGAUGUUUUCAUUAAUCAAGAACGAAAGUAGGGGGAUCGAAGACGAUCAGAUACCGUCGUAGUCUCUACCGUAAACUAUGCCGACCAGGGAUCCGGAGAGUUUGCAUGGAUGACUCCCCGGGCACCUUGUGAGAAAUCAUAAGUGUUUGGGUUUUGGGGGGAGUAUGGUCGCAAGGCUGAAACUUAAAGGAAUUGACGGAAGGGCACCACCAGGAGUGGAACCUGCGGCUUAAUUCGACUCAAC
rnacentral:rRNA from 1 species